GGCCUGUAGGGAGGAAUGGCCACUAUACAACCUUGCUGCUGCUCGGGACGAAGCAACCAUGGAGCUUCCUCCUCCUCAUCUGGCUUCAGAUUCAAAAGAUAUAUGGAUGAUUAUAUGGGUGCGUUGCAAGUAUACUGCAAUGAUGAUGAUGAUGUUCUGGUCCAUGACGAUGACGAUAGAUGCCUUCAGUAUUUGUUAACUUGUGGGGAUGUUGUUCCUGUUGGAUGAUUUUCUUCAGCUAAGUUUUAGUUAAGUUGUAGGAGUGUUGACGGAUGCUUUAAGUUUAAUCUUCAUUGUAAAGAUUUUUUUAUUAUGCAUCACAUUUGGAUGAUGUUCUGCCUGUAAUAUCAACUAUUGUAAUCCAACAGUUUUAUUCAAUAUAUGGGUUCCUCCUCUCA